CUCAAGACUUCAAAUUUCAGUCUCGGCUUCCAGCGUGUGGGCGCGAUCGCCGAAGCCCUGCGCCCAACCGCGUCUCCGCGGGGCCGUACGGAUGGCUGGCCGGGAUCCGAGCGCAGCCCCGGCGCUCUGGAGCUGCGGCGCGCGGCCCCCGCGGGCGUGCCCGCUCUGACUCAGCUCUUCCGGCCGCCGCCAGCCGCCGUCCGCUUCCCUGCGUGUGCCGACGCCGGGCGUCACUGCUCACCAGUGCGGGAGCCGCCGGCCGCCGGGCCCUGUCUUCGCGCGCUGCGUUUCUGCCCUGCGGUGACUCAGCCGCUUCCGCCCCGGGCCGCGCGCUGAGCCGCCGCCGCCGCCCCCGCGACGCGCCUUCUUCCGCCCUUAGGUGCGGGCCUGCAAGGUCCUGACCGCUCGUUUAAGCGUCCCUGUGCGGUGCUUGGGCCCUGCAAGGUCCUUCUCCGUAAGUAGAGGAGUUGAGGCCUCAGCUCAGGAAUAUUCCUCAGCCCGCAGUGCAGAGAGUGGGUAAUCUUGACCCGGGCAAUUGAGGUCUAGGUCUUCAGAGCCGGACGACCUAUGUUGGAAGUUCAGCACUGCCACUUGCAUGGCGUGUGACCCCCAGAGAGUCACUUCAUCUAGCCAAGUCUCACUUCGCACGUGGGCGAAAUGGGGGUUUGCUUUCCUUUGAGUUGACUUCAUUCUCAGGCAGGCUUUCCCUAUGUGGGAAAAAAGAUGGCCACCAGCAGCUCCAGGUUACAUUCUACCAAUUUAGUAACCCUAGCAGAAAGCAUCUCUAUCAUUCUCAGAUGAAGAAGGAAACAAGAAGGCAGCUGUCUGCAAAUCAGGAAGAAAAUCCUCACCAGGAGCCAAAUCAGCAGGCACCUUGGUCUUGGACUUCCCAGCUUCCAAAACCGUGAGAAAUAAACAUCUGUUGUUUAAGCCACCUAGUCUAGGUAUUUUGUUAUGGUAACCUGAGCUGACUAGGACAAUGACUAAGAAAACUACUAGAGAAAAUUAGUAAUAGCCUUUGUUGUAUACUCUCUAAAAGAUGUAGAGAAAACAUCUAUGCUUUGAGAGGGAAACCUCUCAAAGGUCAUCAAUUUCUAGUUUCCAAACCCAAUGAUUCUCAUUCAGUUUCCAUUCUUCUUUGCCAUGUUGACUGUCCUUGCCUUCUUUUUGUUUUUUUAAGUUUGUUUAUUUAUUUAUUUUGAGAUAGAGGGAGCACAAGCAGGGGAGGGGCAGAGAGAGGGAGACAGAGAAUCCCAAGCGAGCUCCACGCUGUCAGUGCUGAGCCCAACUCAGGGCUCAAUUUCACUGACCACAAGAUCAUGACCCGAGCCAAAAUCAAGAGUCAGUUGCUUAACGGAGUCACUCAGGUGCCCCAUCUGUCCUUGCCUUCUUGAAUCUCUUCUACUUUGGCCUCUGUGACUCCCCCCAUCCAUGGAUUCUCCUUUUACUUUUCUGACAGCUCUCUCUGUAUCCUUCAGUCUUUUCUUUUCUCCACUUGCCCUAUACAGAUCUCUGAGAUUUGUUCUUGGACAUCCUAUCCUCUUGCUCUACCCACUUUGCUGAAUAAUUUUAUUUACUCCCACAAUUUUCUGUCUCACUCAUAGGCUGUUCCUACGUAUCAUUUCCUCAUUUAUUAUUCAUAGCCUUAAAGUUUGCUGAGCUUUAGGUCCUGAUUUUUACUGUCCUGGUGAAUACCUCCACCUGCAUAAGAUGCAAAGACUAUAAAUAUGUCCCAAACUGAACUUCUCCUUACCCUAAUCUAGUCUCAAAACACUUUUUUAGUUACCAGUACCUCUAAUACUGGCAAUCCACACUCUCUUCCAGGCUCUAGCUCAGUUUUAUAGGCUUCCUUCACCAACACUGCUUCUCCUCUACCCCAUUCCAUUCUCACUUUCUUGUCUAAAUCCUGCCUUGUCCAAUAUUCAUUUUCCUCCUUUUGCUUUGUUGACUACUGCUUUCCAAGAACAUGCCAUACAUUUUUAUGCUUCCAUGAGUUGCUUAUUGUUUCCUUCUCCUUGGAACGCUGUUUCCCCACUGUUACCUAUCUAAAUCCUACUCAUCUUUCAAAAUCCAAUUCAAAUGCUAAUUCUUCUAUGGAGCCUCCUGACACACCUUGUCAAAACCAAGCAUUCACCUCUUUGGGCUCCCACAGAACCACCAAAACAAGUACUAUAAUCCUUUUGGAGUUAUUGUGAGUUACGUAUUUUCUUUUCUCUCCUGGUAGAGUGUGAUUUUCUUGAGGGAAGGAAGCAUCAUAACAGUGCACUGCACAAUUCAGAUGCUCAAUAACAUUUGUCAAAUUGAAUCAGAGAAGAAAAUAAUUGAAAAAAAUGAAGAUAUCUUUAAUAAGAGGCAAUGUUGCUUAAGAAAGACAUUAAUACUUUGGAGGACUAUUCUCUUAUAUAAAGUCUUUGCUGUUAAAAAAAUUGAGUGACAGGGGCACCUGGCUGUGUCAAUCGGUAGAGCAUGUGACUCUUGAUCUUACGGUCGUGAGCUUAAGUCCCAUAUUGGUUGUAGAGCUUCCUUAACAAAUAACAGUAGAGUGAGAGACAGGCAGUAGCACACAGGGCAGAUUCCUUCUUAACUCUUCUUAGCAGGUGAUUUUCAUUUGGCCUUUACCCUGAAACCCAAGUGGGCCUUCCCUUUAAAAUGUUUUGUUUGAAUAAGCUGAGAUUUCUUAAAAUUCAUAUCUUGAGAGAUUUUAUUGUUUAAGCAGAAGAGAGAACUCUGAACUCACACAUUAUCACAUUAUAUGGUUUUGAUAUGUGGUGGGCUCCACAUAUAUUACUAAUUGGCUUAUGACGAAAUCUAAACCUAUCAGGACAGAAGAAGCAGUAGAACAUAUUAAGUGAAAGCUUGGCUCUGGAGCAGGACUGCCAGAGCCUGAAUUAGGCAAAUUAACUUCUCUGUGCCUCAGUUCCCUCUUGCAUCCAGUGGAGAUUGUAAUGGACCUACUUCACAAGCUUAUUAUGAAGGUUAGACAGAUUGAUGUAUGCAAAGUUCUUGAACAGGCUAGGCACAUGGUAAGCAUUCAGUAAUUAUUCUGUGUUAUUAUUAUUUUCAAUUACUACUUUCAACUGGGAUGGCAAAUCCCUGUCUCCUGUACCUUAAUGACACCCCUGGAAGAUUCUAUGGCUUGACUACUACAAUUCAGUUCAAUCUGGUUUCAAACAUCAGUCUCAUGAUUGGUUCAAAGUUCUCUGCCUGACCCAAUACAAGCUAGACUUACUGGCAGGAGGACACUGUUUGACUUUUUCAAUCAUCCUCCUGUUGUAGUGACCUAGAGGGUGCCUGGAGGGGGGGGUGGCGUUGGAUCAUGUUCUGGGGCACUGGGUCCCCUUCCCAGUUCUUAGGACUGGGUCAGGAAGAGAGAUGAGACAGUCAGAGCUCUCCUUAUAUAGCUAGCUUCCUCUUGUUAGGAAUGCAUCCCUGAAACUCACUGCUGUGGUUCUCUUUUGUUCUGCUCCUGCUGUGGCCUCUGAUGAAAUGGUAGCCUCCACUGGAUGGGUGCACACUGUUUAGUUUUACCCUAGGUACCUCUUUAGCAUUAGAUUACUGAAGCACAGUGGAUGCUGGAGAGGAGACUGGAAAUGAUGCUUGAUUUUGUUGUUUUAUUGUUCUGACAAGAGGGACAGCUUACAAUUAGAACACUCUUAUUUCCCACCAUGCCUGCUGAAUAAGCCUCCAGGGAGGAUGUAUAAUAAAGCUCAGUGUGGCUGAAGCAGAUCACAGACCAGAAGCCCAGAUGCUACUCAAAGGGUUUCUGGAUCUCAAGUACCUUUAUAUUUUUAUUUUAAAGCUUUUUAAAAUGUUUAUUUGACACAGAAAGAGAGAGAGAGAGAGAGUGAAAGGGGGAGGGGCAGAGAGAGAGGAGGACAGAGGAUCCAAAGCCUGAUCCUGGGCUCGAAUUCAUGAACCAGAAGACAAUGACCUGAGCUCAAGUUGGAUGCUCAACUGACUGAGCCGUCCAGUUGCCCCAUGGAUCAAUUACUUUAAAGAGAGUGAUAACCCAAAAAUAACAUUUAUUGAAUAUCUACUAAAGCUAGGUACUUAUGCCUAAAGCUAGGUAUACAUUAUCUAUUGUAUAUGAUAAGGAUUACUAAUUCUAUUUUACAGAUGAGGAAAGUGAAGGUAAGAGGAAUGAAAUCAAUUGCCAUUAUUUUUGAGGGCCUUGCUCCUUACAUAAAAUUUCCACACUGAUCCAAAAAGAUUUCAGAGAGGAGAGGUGUUUGAGUGGCUCAGUUAAGCCUCUGACUCUUGAUUUCAGCUCAGUUCUUGAUCUCACUUGUUCGUGAGAGGGUUUGUGAGAUGGAGCCCUGAGUUGGGGUCUGCACUUGCUGUGGAGCCUGCUUGGGAUUCUCUCUCCCUCUCCCUCUGCCCCUCUCCACUCACAGACUCAGUCUCUCUAUCUCUUAAAAAAAAAAAAAAAAGAUUUCAAAGAGGCCAUAUUACCAAAGUCGUAUUUUGGACAUUUAGGAUAAAGCUGUGAUUGCUAAUGUUAAUUUUUUUAAUGAUGCAAAUAUACAUCUUUACUUGGUAUUAAUUCAUCACAAGUAUAAAGGCCAUAAAAUAUCUUAA